CCAGUUGGAAGUACAGCAACAGUGUUCUUGGGACUUUCUCUUCCAAAGACAGCAGACGUGCCCAGAAUGUGGUUCCUGGACGUGGUGUGGCUACAGUGAGUGACACAUCUCCUACACACAGGGAAAUAAAAGGACUAGGUAGAGUGUAAAAGAAAAGCAAGCCCAACAACAAUCCCCCACCAGCUUCCAGCAUUGUGCUCUGUCUGCCGAGACGAGUAAUCAAGACCAACAACUGAUAGA